UACGGGGGGGGCAAGCGUUGUUCGGAAUUACUGGGCGUAAAGGGCUCGUAGGUGGCCAACUAAGUCAGACGUGAAAUCCCUCAGCUUAACUGGGGAACUGCGUCUGAUACUGGAUGGCUUGAGUUUGGGAGAGGGAUGCGGAAUUCCAGGUGUAGCGGUGAAAUGCGUAGAUAUCAGGAAGAACACCCGUGGCUAAGGCGGCUCUCUAGUACGGUACUGACGCUGAGACGCGAAGGCGUGGGGAGCGAACAGG
rnacentral:rRNA from 1 species